GACAGAGGGUGCAAGCGUUGUUCGGAAUCAUUGGGCAUAAAGGGCGCGUAGGCGGUUUUGUAAGUCGAAUGUGAAAGCCCAGGGCUCAACCUUGGAAGUGCAUCCGAAACUGCGAAACUUGAAUCCUGGAGAGGGUGGUGGAAUUCCCAGUGUAGAGGUGAAAUUCGUAGAUAUUGGGAGGAACACCGGUGGCGAAGGCGACCACCUGGACAGAAAUUGACGCUGAGGCGCGAGAGCGUGGGGAGCAAACAGG
rnacentral:rRNA from 1 species